UGGGGAAUUUUGCGCAAUGGGGGAAACCCUGACGCAGCAACGCCGCGUGGAGGAUGAAGCCCCUUGGGGCGUAAACUCCUUUCGACUGGGAAGAUUAUGACGGUACCAGUGGAAGAAGCACCGGCUAACUCUGUGCCAGCAGCCGCGGUAAUACGGAGGGUGCAAGCGUUAGUCGGAAUUACUGGGCGUAAAGGGUGCGUAGGCGGGGAUGUAAGUCAGAUGUGAAAUACCGUUGCUCAACAACGGCCGUGCAUCUGAAACUGCAUUUCUAGAGGGAUAGCGGAGAAAACGGAAUUCCACGUGUAGCGGUGAAAUGCGUAGAUAUGUGGAAGAACACCUGUGGCGAAAGCGGCUACCUGGACUCGUUCUGACGCUGAGGCACGAAAGCUGGGGG
rnacentral:rRNA from 1 species